UACGUAGGCAGCGAGCGUUGUUCGGAGUUACUGGGCGUAAAGCGCACGUAGGCGGAUUUGUAAGUCAGGGGUGAAAUCCCGGGGCUCAACCUCGGAACUGCCUUUGAUACUGCAAAUCUCGAGUCCGGAAGAGGUGAGUGGAAUUCCUAGUGUAGAGGUGAAAUUCGUAGAUAUUAGGAAGAACACCAGUGGCGAAGGCGGCUCACUGGCCCGGUACUGACGCUGAGGUGCGAAAGCGUGGGGAGCAAACAGG
rnacentral:rRNA from 1 species